GGAGAUUUUGUUUAUUAGUCCUGCACUGAUGUAUUAAACUUAAGACUAACUUGAGUGUGAGAAAAUAUUUUUGAGGUUUUCUCAAAAUUAAUUUUUCUCCUCUGGAUUCUUGAGAUAAUCUGAUGGUUUGAUUAAACAAGCUGAUGAGCUCAUACUUCCACUUAUAGUGUCUGAGAUUCAAAUUUCUAUCACAAAUUGGUGUGAAAUCACAAUUUUUUUUUGUUGUUUUUGUGUGUCUGGUUUUGUUUUUAAGGUGUCCCCACCCCCUUGCUCAUGUUUUUGGUCGUUUUUAGUUCCUCUUUGGUUUGGAAGAUUUUGCUUCUCUUUUUUCUUAAGGGAAAAUAUUUACAAUGGUUUGUGUGUCCAUACUCGAUCACAGAGAACAGGCAGUUUUGAGAAACCAUGCUAUUCUUACUUUUAGCUUUCUUAAUGUCAACUUGAUUCUAGUUUCCAUCGGAAUUCCAUUUUGGAAAGAACAAGAAAAACCCUGUGUUUUCUUUUGUUUUAAUUAAAAUAUAUUUGACAUGAAACAUUGUGUUAACUUAAGGUGUAAAACAUGUUAUUUGAUACACUUAUGUACUGUAAUAUGAUUACCAUUGUAGUGACAACUAGCACGUCUAUCCCAUUAUGUAAUUAUCCUUUCCUUUUAGUGGUUGUAAUAGUUAAGUUCUAGUCUUUUAGCAAGUUUGAUGAUUACAAUAUAAUAUUGUUGUCUCUAUUCACUAUGCUGUGCAUUAGAUCUCUAAGACAUAUUUACUACUCAUUGCAAAUUGUACCCUUAAACAUCCUCUGCCCCAUCCGCUCACCACCUCCCCGCCCUGAUAACGACCAUUUUACUCUCUGUUUUUACAUGCUUGGCUUUUUGAGAUUCCACAUGUAAAUGAUACCAUGCACUCCUUGUCUUUCUCUGUCUGGCUUAUCUCAAGACUGUUUUCUGAAGAUCAAUGCUUUGAGAAAGAUUUUAAAUGCUUUCACAUCAGAGGGGGAAAUACCAAAAGGAUUUUCUCGUUAUCUAGUAUAAAUUAAUGAGAAAUUCAAUAAAUUUCUUUCCCCUUGAAGACUCCCUUCACUCCUGCUCCUGAAAAAUCACUUUUUUUUCCUCUGUAAGAAGCAUUUUUUUUUUUCCCCAGAGCCUUUCUGAUAUGGGAGAUUAAUAUUUCAUUAUAUAAUUAUAAACACCUGCCUGGGCAGAUGCUUUUCUGUCCCUUGUUAACAUGACUCUUGGGUUAGCCUCUCUGGAAAAGCAGCUUUUAACAAGGAAAUGGCACACGAUGAUGGGAUGUAAAUGCACAAACACCACUCAAAUUAAAGUUCUUGUCAGAAAUAUUUAGAGAGAAAAUGCAUUUCUCUCUCUACUUUAUGCAGUCCCUUUAUUAUCCCAAGUGCUUUUAUGUGUAAGGCUUCAGGAGUCUUUGUCUUUGGUUUACUGCUAUUCUGUCAGGGGAAGAAGUAAUUACAGUCCACUUCAUCUACAAUGGGGAAGUGCAAAUACAUUUCCAAGUGUGUGUCAAAAUCAAAAGCAAGCCCAGAUUUUUGUGGUGUUAAUGGCGUGGUGGUUAAAACUUCAAACACACCUGGGUUAAAUUCCUAAUAGUCCACGUAAUUGCUUUGUGAUCAUGAGCAAGACAGUUAACUGUAAUUUUCCUGUUCCUCAUUUAAAAAUGGAGAUGAUAAUAAUGUACUUGUCCUAGGAUCGUGGUGAGGAUUAAAGAAGAUAUGGCACAGCACAAGUACUAGCUGUUAUUAUCUAUUAUUGUUUUUAAUUCAGGUCUAUACUUUCAUAAUAGAAUAAACUAAUUACUGUUUCUACGUUCACGCUUCUUAAUACAUUCUCAGAUUCCUGCCAGUAGCCCCUGGAUGUGAGAUGCCUAUAUUUUUCCCCUUAAAUCUUUUUUUAUUUCUUACUCCCUUCCACACCCUGUUCUUCAAAGCUGCCUUAGAUUUUGCUUCUCAUUUUGAACUGGCAUUUCUUUUAUCCGUGGGGCCUGCUCUGAAGGACUACUCUUGUUUCUCCUCCCCUAAUGAGAGGUCCCUGGAAUAUCAAGAACAAUGGCCGCCAGGACUCCUUGCAGCUGCCUUCCACCUGUCUGACUGAACACAUUGAGAUCACCAUGCUGGUGACGGUGGCAGAGAUUCUUAUGCUCCCUGGUGAUCUGGUGUUAGUUGAUCACUGUGGGCAAGGAGACCACCUGAGCUCUUUCUUUUCACUUAACAAAAUUAAAAUGACAUGAAUUUCAUUCACAUGGAAAUAAUUUUUAUAUGUGUGAACAGCCACUCACUCAGAGGCCCCAACAUUGUUUUAAUAUGAUUCUUUUCCCCCAACUAUUGUUCCUUGAGCCUUUUUGUGGUAAUUUGCCAGUUCAGAAUAAAAUGGUGGAUCUAUUGAUGAACAAGUCAUGCUUUGUUUAAUAAUUUCAGAGCACACAUUAAGAGCUCAGGAAGAGUUUAUUCUUGUGGUUUGUCCCCAAGUACAACUGGUCAUGAAAUAAUAGCUCUGCUUUACUAGCUUGAUGACAUUCAUCAAGAAAUAGAGCCUAUACAAGCCUCAAUUUAAUAAUCCGUAAGUUACAAAUGAUAAUACUUAUUUGAUAGUAUCAUCUUAAGGAGAAAUGAAGAGAUUGCAUAUGGAAAAUCAUUAUACAUAGUAGGCAAUAUGCACUCUAUUUUCCAUUUUCCCUUUGAAAUGUAUUCCAACACCUUAUUCUGUUAUAAAGUAUAACACUCCUGCACUAUGACAGAGAAGGAUAAUACUCACCACGGAUGUAGAAAAAUCUCAAGAUUUAUAAUUAAAAUAAAAACAUAACGAGAGAGAGGAUUUUUUUCCUUUAUCUUGUUCGUCUCUUUUCUGAAACAUAACAUGGAGCAAUGAUAUUUGCUAUUCAGGGUUGUUAUGAGGCUGAGAAUAUAAAGUGCUUCAUAUAUCGGAAAGUAUCUUAUUAAAGUGUAAUUAUUGCCUGGAAAUUAUAGGAUUAUAUUGUAGUUACUUUUGACUACUAGUUACAAAAUAAAUAAAUAAAUAAGCUAAACGUUAAAGAUAAAGACUAGUUAUUUAAAGCAGUGGAAUGGAUCCCUAAAAUUCAGAUUGAAUUUCAGCACCCAGCUUUACAAAAAUACAAGCCACAGGAAGCAAUUUUGUACAUGUAAGUAGAGUGAACAACCAUAUGGCUUUGCGUGACUUCACUAUGAAUUCUAGGAUUCUAUUAUUCUCUUUUCUUUCUUCCUACUUCAGGUGCUGCUGACUGUUUUUUUAAUAUCUAAGUUUAUGCAUAAUGAAUUAAUCCAUAGGCUAUAUUAUGAGGUUAGCUUCAAAUCAAACACACAGUGAUAACUGCUUAUGGGCUGUACUCAAACACCACUGAAGAUCAUUCAACUUGGUCCUGAGCUCUCCGAAAAAUUGUUCUAACUACCCAAUCUGCUCUAUGGGAAAAUAAAAUUUCUCUCAUCACUUCUUAGUUAUGUGACUUCAGGCAACUAACUCGCAGCUCUUUGUAACUCAUUUCAUCACCUGUAAAACAAGGAUAGAAAGAGUAUCGAAUUUAUGGGUUUGUUGCGGUAAGUAAAUGUACUUAUAUAAUUAAAUUGAUGGGAAAAGUAGCUGGCACAUGAAGUCUUCUAUAAAUAAGAACAUACGGGCAAAUCUAGUAGACAAUUCUUUCCAGGACUGAGAAUUAUAAUAAAUUAUGUUUUUACUUAAUAAUUAAUUGAAUUACAUUUUUUAAAGAAAAAAGUCACACAGUCAACAUGAGUAUGUUCGAUGACUAGAAGACUCUUUGCUAGAAAUUUCUCACCACCAUGUGCUAGACCACCCACAUAAAUCAAAGGAAGUGCCAUCAUCACACUAAGUCACUCAUAAAAAUGCAAAUAUGUCUAGCAGUGCUAAGUGGUGAAAUUCUGUUCUGUUGAAGACUAAAGGUUUAUUUUAUUUGGACAGACAAGACCAAUAUUAGCUCAUUUAACAAAUAUUAGAAUACCAAAAUAGACAAAAAUCAUUAAGAGAACGAUAUAACUUUGUGUACAAUCAAAAAUGAAUGAGUAAGAGCCUACCUUUACCUCACUAUCUUCCAUUUCUCCCUUUUCUCUGCAAUCUUGACUAACUUGAAAACCGAAGCUUUUAUAUUAAACACAAUCCAGAACAUUGAUAAAAUGGAUCUUCCAGAGUUCUGAAAAAUGAAGAGUUUCACAAAAAUGAUUGUAUAUUAAGGGAAGAGAAAGAAUUAGGAGUACCAACUUUGUCCAGAAAACACGAGUCAGCCUCAGGACAAAAUUUUGUGGGGUAUGUACCGACCAUAAUUUUCUCUGUCCUACCCUUCUCCCUAGGGAGCCAUAUCCAAGCCAUAGAAAGGGAAGGUAGUAAAACUAAGUGAGUACAAAGUAUUUGCAACUUUUGGACUAUAUAACUGGCUGUAGCAUGAGCAAGGAUGAGGGGAACAUUUGCUAUUCUUAGAAUAACUAUUUAAGCAUAUUAAAGCUAGACAUGAGGCCAGCCGAUGGCAUUGUGGUUAAGUUUAUGCUCAGCUUCCGCAGCCCAGGGUUCACUGGUUCGGAUCCUGAGAGUGGACCUACACACCACUCAUCAAGACAUGCUAUGGUGGCUUCCCACAGAGAAGAACUAGAAGGACUCACAACCAGAACAUACAACUAUGUACUGGGGCUUUGGGGAGGGAAAAAAAAGAGGAAGAUUGGCAACAGAUGUUAGCUCAGGGUCAAUCAAAAAAACAAAGCUGGACAAACAGUCAUGUGUAGUGAAACAGAGGCAGCGGAGGACAUCACAUAUCAGAGAUUGGAUGACUUGAGACAGCAUCUUAGCCACCAAAGUAGGAAGAGGAGAAGAAAUAGCUUUUGUGGGUGCAUUUACACAUGACUUGGAGACUUUCUGAAAUAGCUAGGAUGGGGAGUGAAACCUGGCCAUGUUGGAAUUCUGAGGUUGGAAAUGAAACAGAUAAACAUAUUUUUAAAAUAUGAUAUUGAUCUAAUAUACUCUAACUAUUGAGCCACAUCCCAGACCAACCACAUCAGAAACUUUGGAAGUGAAGUCUAGCAAUCUGAGUUUGAACAAACCUUCUAGGAGAUGUUGAUGUACACUCAAUAUGAGAACCGGUCAAUCGUACGAUGUUUGGGGUCCUUCAGAAAAUCUUGGUCUAGAAUAGUUGUUCUCAACCAGGGGCUCCCCAGGAGACACUGACAAUGUCUGAAGACGUUUUUGUUGUUGCAGCUGGGGAUGGGAGUGCUACCAACAACAAAUAUGUAGAGGUCAGAGAUGCUGCUAAACAUCCUACAUUGUAUAGGACACUCUCACAACAAAGAAUUAUCUGUCCUAAAAUGUCAAUAACACUAAGUUUGAGAAAUCCUGGUCUAGUACAAUAGUUUUCAAUUUGAAUUUGUAUUGUAAUCAUCUGGGGUGCUUUAAUAUUAUUGCUGUUUGCAUGUCUUUUCAUAGAUUCUUGUUUAUUUGGUAUAGCCCUUAGCCUAGGAAACAUGAGUGGGGAACCACUGGACUAGAAGCUUGGUUUCUUGAAUGCCAUACCUAACACUAGGUCUACAGUUAAUAAAGAAGCUCCCAGACUGAGGAUUUCACAAGCCAGCACUGGUAAGAGGACUUGUAUAUUAGAGAAACCAUUGCCAGAGACAGGUAAACUGAGUGCCAGGGAAGAAAAGAGCAUCACAUUUAAAUUUACUUGCUAAGGCUUUUGAUGAUCACAUGUGCCAGAACUGCUUCUGCUUCAUUCUAUGUUUAUGAUCUGAGUUCAUUUCAGUGGCCUCACCCUUUUACCCUACUACUGUCAAAACUUACAAGCUCAACUACAAAGUCUGGAUCUUAUUGAUUUAACAAACUGUGAUUCUCCAAACAAGCACAUUUGUGAUGUGUUUUCUUUCAUUUUAACCCCUUUAUCUACCAUAUGAGCUCUUAAGGACAAAGGCUAGGUUGCUUUUCCCUUUAUUAGUCCUCUUCUUGGGCUGAGAAGUACACAGGUACCAAGUGAAUGGUUCAGUAAGGAAUUAUUAUUAUGAGGAAACCAGCACUAUGUUCUGAACUCUGAAAGUAGUGUAGUCCAGGUGGAAAAGACUGGGCUGGGGACAGUGAUGCAUCUGGGUUUGAAAUCCAUUUCCAUUGAUUACUAGAUUUGGACGAGGAAAUUAACCUUUCUGUGCCUUGGUUCCUUCGUUGGUAAUAGCUACUCUUUAGAACUGUUGACGUAAUUAAAUGAGAUUAAACACAGGAUGCAUCCGGCACAGGGCUUGGAAUAUGGUGACUUCAUCAAUAGUAGCUUAUAGAUAUUAUCAGAUGUUUCAGGAGAUUUUGUUUUUAUAUCUUCAAAUCUAGUCCCCUCUAAAUAAAGGCCCUAAACCUAAUUGUUUAUUUCAAAAUCAUUCACUGGUCUUGAAUUUCUUAAACUAUCCACACUAAGUAAGUACAUUUAAACAUUGCAGAAGGAAAUGAAUACCACUCCAAUGAAACUAAGCAAAGGCUCUUUAUUCAAAGCUUGCCAGAGCAAAGGAGUCAGCCUGCAUCACUUGGUUUUCGCAGAGAAUCAAAGGCAAAUAGUGGAGAGGGAAAGCUUUAGGACAGACAAAAGAGAAAGCUUCAGGUAUUCCCUGAUUGGAGGCUGUUCACAUGAGGAAGCUGGAGGCAGGAUGACUAGAAUUGAGGCAUCCUGUGUGAUUGGUUACUGAAGUAUAUUUGGCUUUUUCUGAUUGAUUGGUCCUAAGUAGAAAGUUCGGGGGUGGAAUUAGGGAAGCUGACAGUUAUUGAUUAAGUCCUGGCCAUUUUGGGUCAAUUGCUAUAGAGGUUGUGGUCUGGCUUCCUGAUCUGUGAAUUGACUUUCUCUGCUGGUUCCUGCAGGUUGUGGUUCAGAGUUCUGUUUUAGUACACGAUCUGGGCCUUGUCUAGUUGUAUAUUUAGUCUCAGCAUAAGGAGUGGGGAUGGUUGUAGUAAAUAAGGCCAAUCUCAAGUAGAAGUGGCUGCAUAUCUAGUUAGAUGCUAAAGCUUUUACUGCAAAAAACAUUUCCCAAUACCUAAAGUUCUUUUAAAGUUGAGCUCUGUGUUAAAAUUCAAGCUAAUUAACUUUGAGGCAAUUAUUUGGUUUGAACCCUAAACUUUAUGCUUAUUUAAUCUUCACAGCUUCUUGCUCAAAUUUAAGGGUUACGUUGGCACCUACUUACAUCACAGACACACAUUUUCAUGUACCCAUGCUCACCAACUAUGCCCUUCAUUUUUAUCCACCCAUGAAUAGUCAUAAAUUUACAUGGAUAAUGUAAACACUGAAUAAAAACGUCUGCUUAAGCUUUCAAGUGCUACUUUCAAUGUUUAAGAUUUAUAAGUCCUAAUUUAUUUCUUUAGAAAAAGAAAUGAGUGAGUAAUUCCUGUAUCACACCAGUCUGAGGAUACAAAAUAAUGGCAAUAAAAUGCUGCUAUGCUCCUUAUCUCGAUCAUCACAAUUGAGGGGGUCUUUAGCAGUGCUAACUUCUCCAAAUUAGUUCUGAAAGUCUCCAGGAGCUAACUUCAAGGUGGAUACACUCCCCUUUGGCUCCUCUGGUAUUCACCAUUUUCUCUGUCCCACUCUUGAUGCUGGCUUGAUGGAAUACCAUCCUCCUUUAUUUUAUCAAAGCUUCACAAAGCAGGCUUGCCUUUUACUCUCAUUUCAGAGGUAACAGCAUCUUACACUUUCACUGCAGACACUCGGACCCAGGCCUGAAUCCCUGAGGACUUGAAACAGGAAGAAACCUUUGGAGUAGGAGUGUUAUGGACAUUUGAAAGGAGAAUCCUAAGAAGCAUGGAACUUAAUAUGUGGUUGGUAAGGAAUGGUGGGCACAAGGAACUGUGAGGAAAAACAAACAGUUGCAGAAAAAGCAGGAGCUAUACCAAGAACUGUGAAGAUUCGUCAGAAUAAGGGGUCACAUUCAAUCACCAGGAGACCCAGCACCUGAGAGGAGCGCUGUGGAAGACGGGAAGAAGGAGAAUAUCAUAAAUCAAUGCAUGGAAGCAUUCAACCAAAGGGAAGACCUGCUCCACACAGAGAACAGCGCUGGGAAUUGAAUCUUACGAUAAAGAAAAAGAAGACCUGCAAACUUCUUUCUCUUGUGUCUCUGACAGCUGAUGGAGAGAUGGAAACCCUCAUUGUCAUUUGGCCCUAACCAAGCCUAACAGAAAGCCUAUCACUUGGGGAAUCCAAAAAUGUCUUUAAAUUUUUGUCAAAUAUGUGUUCAGAAGAGGAAUCACCACCAGCCAUUCCCAGAGAGAAAUGUUGGUUGUUGAUUCCCGUCUCCGCAGGGUGUCAGCUGCAUUUGGAACAGAGCCUCAGGAGGAACAGCAAGGAAAGCUCUUUUUUGCUUUUGCAGGUCUAUGACUGCUCCCUACCAGCUCAGAAGGAAAUUCCAUGCAGAAUACUAAAUGAGAUCUCUGUUCUCUCGCCAUUUUGUACUCUGCAUUGUCGUUGUCGUGUUUGGCUAUUGCUUGCUGUAGUAACCAAGGCAUUGCAGCCCGAACAGUGUUUCUACAGAGAAGAUGAUCAAUGACAUACAGGACAUAGUCACCAGCAACCACGCUUCUUGAAAUCUAGGAUCCCACGAAUUGUAAGAAGCAUAAAUUCAUGUAAAAUUAAAAAACAGUGGAAAAAAAGAAAGAAAAAUGCUGCCAAUCAAUCUACAAAAUGUCAUCAAUUCUAAGACUCAUCACAGUUUCAGAGAAUUAAAAUAUGAAAACGUCUUUGAAUUGCUAAAAUAUAAUAAAUUGUUCCUCUCAAAUCCUGAGUGAGUUGUUUAGCUGUAUAGAUGAUAUGACAGAAUCAGACUGGCAAGAGGGAAAAUUGAAUUAUAAAAGUAAAUAGUCAGCUUCUAUUUUUAAGAUAUCCUCUACAAGGCAAAUAGAACUCACCACAAUGAGAAGUUGUGAAGCCAAUUGAAUCGACAAAACCUCCCCAUCUCAUAUUCCUUCCUCACUUAGUUCCUAACCAUCUCUCCUAUAAUAAGGAGAAAUCCACAUUUUACCAAGAUUCCCAGGUGAUUCUUGUGCACAAUAAAAUUUGAGAUGUGCCAGCCUAGAACAUACAAUGCACUGUCCCUAAAUGGAGUAAGAUGUGUGAUGACCCUCUAAUAGCUGGUGAAAGAAUGGGAACUGCUUUGUUUUGUGAAAUAAUACAAUCUACUUAGAAGUAAUGAAUUCAUAGUAUUUCCAACAGCUCAUUGGAGAACAUAAUUAAAUGUCAAAACCUUGAUGGAAUAAAAGAUCCUGUUUGUCUCCCUCCCCUGAAGACUAUUUUGAGUUACACAGUUGCAUAUUCGGAAAAAAAAAUCAAUCUUAUAAGAGGGCUUUGCUUUAAGUAUAAAAAUAUUGUAGUGAGGGGUUUUAUUCAAGUACAUAUAAAAAAGUCAUGUAUUCCAGAAGCAAAAAUUAUGUACAUAUCGUACCCAUACAUUUAAUUAGUCAUUGUAUUUGGUGUACAAAUGGCCUUACAGUUUAGGAGACAAAUAAAAAGUAUGCUUUUGCUUGUUCUUAUUUUUGAUCAAUCAAAAUAGUGAAAGUGCUUCCUGUGUUUUACUUCUAUAUUUUGAAGAGCGGGAAUACAUCCACUCCAUUUUGAUCUGAUUAAAUGUCUCAGGUUAUUUUAAACCUCUCUCAUCUCUCACUCCUUUCUGGCUUUUUCGCCAUUUCUCUUACAAUCAAGGGAAAUAGAGACAGUUAAAAGAAAAUUG
rnacentral:lncRNA from 1 species